rnacentral:rRNA from 1 species
UUGAACGCUGGCGGCAGGCCUAACACAUGCAAGUCGAGCGCGAAAGGUUUUCGGACUGAGUAAAGCGGCGGACGGGUGAGUAACGCGUGGGAAUCUGCCCAGUAGUGGGGGACAACCGUCGGAAACGACUGCUAAUACCGCAUAUGCCCUACGGGGGAAAGGGGGGGAUCUUCGGACCUCUCGCUAUUGGAUGAGCCCGCGUCGGAUUAGCUAGUUGGUAGGGUAAAGGCCUACCAAGGCUACGAUCCGUAACUGGUCUGAGAGGUUGAUCAGUCACACUGGAACUGAGACACGGUCCAGACUCCUACGGGAGGCAGCAGUGGGGAAUAUUGGACAAUGGGGGCAACCCUGAUCCAGCCAUGCCGCGUGUGUGAAGAAGGCCUUAGGGUUGUAAAGCACUUUCAGUGGGGAGAAAGGUUUGUCACCUAAUACGUGAUGAAAUUGAUGUUACCCACAGAAGAAGCACCGGCUAACUCCGUGCCAGCCGCCGCCGUAA